UACAGAGGGGGCAAGCGUUGUUCGGAAUUACUGGGCGUAAAGGGCGCGUAGGCGGCCUGUUAAGUCGAACGUGAAAUCCCCGGGCUCAACCCGGGAACUGCGUCCGAUACUGGCAGGCUUGAAUCCGGGAGAGGGAUGUGGAAUUCCAGGUGUAGCGGUGAAAUGCGUAGAUAUCUGGAGGAACACCGGUGGCGAAGGCGACAUCCUGGACCGGUAUUGACGCUGAGGCGCGAAAGCCAGGGGAGCAAACGGG
rnacentral:rRNA from 1 species